rnacentral:rRNA from 1 species
CCCUGCCAUUUGUACACACCGCCCGUCGCUACUACCGAUUGAAUGGCUUAGUGAGACCUCUGGAUUGGCCAAUAGGACUAGGCAACUAGACCUAUAGGCCGAGAAACUGGUCAAACUUGGUCAUUUAGAGGAAGUAAAAGUCGUAACAAG